rnacentral:rRNA from 1 species
UACGUAGGGGGCGAGCGUUGUCCGAGGUUACUGGGCGUAAAGCGCGCGUAGGCGGUUAAUUAAGUCUGUGGUGAAAGGUUCAGCGCUCAACGCGAACAUUGCCCUGGAUACUGGUUGACUUGAGUCUGGGAGGGGGUAGUGGAAUUCCUGGUGUAGCGGUGAAAUGCGUAGAUAUCAGGAGGAACACCGGUGGCGAAGGCGACUACCUGGCCUAAGACUGACGCUGAGGUGCGAAAGCGUGGGGAGCGAACGGG